AAGAUUUAUUUUAUACCACCAUCAUCUUCAAAAGUAAAAAUAUAAUUUCACAUGUUUUUCUGCUCAUUCCCACCCGGCCAGUGGAUUUUAAGCGGUAGAAAAAAGAAGGCUCCUAUCCCAUAUUCUGAAACCCCUAAUUUUUCUCAAACUCUUAACCAAAGAAAGAAAUAAAAUUAUCUCGCCGUCUAUUUCCCUAUCCCAACCCCCAUUUCUAUAUAUCCAAACGGCACCUCAGAUCCAACACCACCUCAGAUCCGACCUGAAAGAAGACCCAAGCAAAAUCCCAAAGAACAAUCGAAAGAUAACCAGCGAUCCAAGAAUCUGUAGACAAGAGCCACUCCAAAUCUUCCCGCAACUCUAUUGGGCGCAAGCCGCUGCCCAGGGAACUCACCGCGAAAUUCCUUGUCACGGGAUCUGAGCAGGUAGAUUUCAUUUUAUUUUCUGCGUGGAGUGAUUGGGUUGCAAAAAUUACCCCAUCUGGUGGAGUUAAGUUUUUUGCGUCCGCAUCCUUGUCUUCCUCGGCGGCGACAGUGGUCGGCGCUGUCGCUGGUCGCGGCGUACAGUCGAACGGGCGGCGGGCGAGCGGCCAGCUCGCCUCUGUACGAACUGACGGACUGUUAAGAGAGAAAAGUACUGCAAUUUCGAAGUACUUAGCCUUGCCUCAUUACUGUAGCAGUCAAAAGGACUUUGCUGGAGGGGGCUGUACAGUAGCGCACAGAGAUGCCGACCGGUUUUGAGAACUCUGCUGGAGUUGGCCUUACUGCUUAUUUGGCUGUGAACUACCUUGGUCGUUUUCCUUUCACAGUACGAGCUGUCGGAAGGCAACUGUUGCCGCCGAGAUGGAGGAAACUGCUGUCCCACAAUCUCUGGACCUUCAGGUUGGAGAAGCACGGUACGUGUUUGUGGCGACGACGAUCCAGCGAAUAGAACUUCUUGUUCUAAGAGCAUCUCCAACCAAGCCCUCUUCUCACCCCUAUCCUAUAUUUGAGGAAAAAACGAUGAAAAUUGAUCUCCAAUCGACCCCCUAUCCGACUUCCUUUAUUUGAGGAGCCCUCAAAUCUUCUCCCUCACCUCCUAUAUUUAGGGGCUUCUCAUCCAACUCCUCAUUUGAGAGAGAGAGGAAGAGAGGGGAGAGAGAGGUACCGGAUAUUAAUAAAAUAGAGGUGAUUCGAAUAUAGAGGGUCAAAUAUGAGGGAUCGGUUGGAACAUGUUGAGAAAUAGGGGAUAAAAUCUAGAUAAGAAGCCCCUAAAUAAGAGAAAUAGGAGAUCAAAUAUGAGGACUUAGUUGGAGAUGCUCUAAGCACCCUCAAUUGGAGGAUGCAGGCUGUGACCCCCCUUUCUCCUACCUGGAUUACUUCCUACACUAGCUCAACGCCGGCAAUGCUGCGCCAAGAAGCUGUCUCUUUCAAUCGGCGGAGCUCAUCUUGUUUAGCCAGAUGUGUGCAAGCAUGAUUUUGUCAUCGCGAUUAGUGUGGAUCACACGAUUUCGUACACUUGGACCAAUCUGAUUGGUAUCUGUUGUUACACGGCAGGAACUGGCUGCAUAGGAUUUAGACCAUCUGAGAUCGCCGCCGCAGUGGCAGCCGAUUGGAUCCAGUAUGUAAUGAUAUAAUUAACUUAUUUAAGUAUCUACGAUCGUUGUAAUCGAUAUAUUUAAGUACCUAUGAAUGAUAUAAUAUUUGUAAUUAAUUUGUCACUUACAUUCUAUUAUAAUAAUCUUCAGGAAAAACAAUAUUUUCCUACGUUGAAAGCA